rnacentral:rRNA from 1 species
UGGGGAAUAUUGCACAAUGGGCGCAAGCCUGAUGCAGCAAUGCCGCGUGAGUGAAGAAGGCCUUCGGGUCGUAAAGCUCUUUCGAUAGAGAAGAAGUGCAGGCGUACUAACACUACGUUUGUAUGACGGUAUCUGAAGAAGAAGCACCGGCUAACUCUGUGCCAGCAGCCGCGGUAAUACGAAGGGUGCAAGCGUUGUUCGGAUUUAUUGGGCGUAAAGCGUGCGCAGGCGGUUGUGUAAGACAGAGGUGAAAUCCCCGGGCUUAACCUGGGAACUGCCUUUGUGACCGCACAGCUAGAGUAUGGUAGAGGGGGAUGGAAUUCCGCGUGUAGCAGUGAAAUGCGUAGAUAUGCGGAGGAACACCAAUGGCGAAGGCAAUCCCCUGGACCUGUACUGACGC